rnacentral:rRNA from 1 species
UACGUAGGGGCAAGCGUUGUCCGGAUUUAUUGGCGUAAAGAGCGUGUAGGCGGCUAGGUAGGUCCGUUGUGAAACUCGAGGCUCAACCUCGAGACGUCGAUGGAACCAUCUAGCUAGAGUCCGAAGAGGAGAGUGAAUUCCUGGUGUAGCGUGAAUGCGCAGAUAUCAGAGAAUACGAUGGCGAGCAGUCUCUGCUGACACUGACGCUCAUGCACGAAGCGUGAGCAACAGG